rnacentral:rRNA from 1 species
CAGGCCUAACACAUGCAAGUCGAGCGGACCAUUCCUUCGGGGAUGGUUAGCGGCGGACGGGUGAGUAACACGUAGGCAACCUGCCUGUAAGAUCGGGAUAACUACCGGAAACGGUAGCUAAGACCGGAUAGCUGGUUUCUCCGCAUGGAGGGAUCAUGAAACAUGGGGCAACCUAUGGCUUACGGAUGGGCCUGCGGCGCAUUAGCUAGUUGGUGGGGUAACGGCCCACCAAGGCGACGAUGCGUAGCCGACCUGAGAGGGUGAUCGGCCACACUGGGACUGAGACACGGCCCAGACUCCUACGGGAGGCAGCAGUAGGGAAUCUUCCGCAAUGGGCGCAAGCCUGACGGAGCAACGCCGCGUGAGUGAUGAAGGUUUUCGGAUCGUAAAGCUCUGUUGCCAAGGAAGAACGCCUCGGAGAGUAACUGCUCUGAGGGUGACGGUACUUGAGAAGAAAGCCCCGGCUAACUACGUGCCAGCAGCCGCGGUAAUACGUAGGGGGCAAGCGUUGUCCGGAAUUAUUGGGCGUAAAGCGCGCGCAGGCGGUCUUUUAAGUUUGGUGUUUAAGCCCGGGGCUCAGCCCCGGUUCGCACUGAAAACUGGGAGACUUGAGUGCAGGAGAGGAAAGCGGAAUUCUACGUGUAGCGGUGAAAUGCGUAGAGAUGUGGAGGAACACCAGUGGCGAAGGCGGCUUUCUGGACUGUAACUGACGCUGAGGCGCGAAAGCGUGGGGAGCAAACAGGAUUAGAU